GAUCCGAUGGAAGUGAUGUCAGGGGUCAUUGUGACCCUUCACUUCCGGGUCGCCCUGGUCAUUUAACCACCAGCGUGUGGAGAGUAUUCAAACACGCCGGGGAUACAGAGACAUACAGACAUCCAGGGGAGGACUCCUAAAGCUUACACUCACCAAGGUUCUGGGACUACCUUCAACAUACUGACCUAUCUAUCAUAGCCCCCUAGGGGACUGGUCUCCCCAGAAAUCUGUGUCCAUUACCUGCCCCUAUGAUUAUCUAGGUGGUUUUAAGUGCAAUAGCAGAUUUCUUUGCUAUACCUACCUGCCAAAAUCACCAGGGGAACGACUUCACUAUAAACCCUGCGGUUCUGACUCCCGCAGGGGGUUAAGCUGCAGCUCGGACAAGCUUCCACCUUGUGACCAUUUCUAUCUCCUCCCCCCCCCUUGUUGUAUCCCAUUUGUCUUCGCUGACAUGGUUUGUUAUUCCACAAUUGUUGAUGAGAAUGUAUUGUAGAUGAAUGCGGCGCCCAGAAGACGCUCCCUUUUGCGAAACAUGUUGGCGACUAGCAUCUAACUCAUCUAACUUUCAUGUGCAUCUCGUCUGUAACAGGGCAACCAAUGAUUUUAUCAUUGCAUUCUAAAUGUUUUCUUUUAUGUAUUUAAAUACAUUUUGAUAUUUUUCUAUA